AUUGAACGCUGGCGGCGUGCUUAACACAUGCAAGUCGAUCGGUAACGCGGGGGCAACCCUGGCGACGAGAGGCGGACGGGUGAGGAACGCUUGGGAAUCUGCCCUUCAGCGGGGGACAACACGGGGAAACUCGUGCUAAUACCGCAUACGCUCCACGGAGGAAAGCCGGGGACCGCAAGGCCCGGCACUGACGGAUGAGCCCAAGUCGGAUUAGCUAGUUGGCGGGGUAACGGCCCACCAAGGCGACGAUCCGUAGCUGGUCUGAGAGGACGAACAGCUACACUGGGACUGAGACACGGCCCAGACUACUACGGGAGGCAGCAGUGGGGAAUAUUGGACAAUGGGGGAAACCCUGAUCCAGCGACGCCGCGUGGGUGAAGAAGGCCUGCGGGUUGUAAAGCCCUUUCGGUAGGGACGAAAGCUCUCGACCUAACACGUCGGGAGGUUGACUUAACCUACAAAAGAAGCACCGGCUAACUCUGUGCCAGCCGCCGCGGUAAAAC
rnacentral:rRNA from 1 species